rnacentral:rRNA from 1 species
GAUGAACGCUGGCGGCGUGCUUAACACAUGCAAGUCGAACGGUGAAGCAGAGCUUGCUCUGUGGAUCAGUGGCGAACGGGUGAGUAACACGUGAGCAAUCUGCCCCUGACUCUGGGAUAAGCGCUGGAAACGGCGUCUAAUACCGGAUACGAGCUGCGAUCGCAUGGUCAGUAGCUGGAAAGAAUUUCGGUCAGGGAUGAGCUCGCGGCCUAUCAGCUUGUUGGUGAGGUAAUGGCUCACCAAGGCGUCGACGGGUAGCCGGCCUGAGAGGGUGACCGGCCACACUGGGACUGAGACACGGCCCAGACUCCUACGGGAGGCAGCAGUGGGGAAUAUUGCACAAUGGGCGGAAGCCUGAUGCAGCAACGCCGCGUGAGGGAUGACGGCCUUCGGGUUGUAAACCUCUUUUAGCAGGGAAGAAGCGAAAGU